CUGGCUCAGGACGAACGCUGGCGGCGUGCCUAAUACAUGCAAGUAGAACGCUGAAGACUUUAGCUUGCUAAAGUUGGAAGAGUUGCGAACGGGUGAGUAACGCGUAGGUAACCUGCCUACUAGCGGGGGAUAACUAUUGGAAACGAUAGCUAAUACCGCAUAACAGCAUUUAACACAUGUUAGAUGCUUGAAAGGAGCAAUUGCUUCACUAGUAGAUGGACCUGCGUUGUAUUAGCUAGUUGGUGAGGUAACGGCUCACCAAGGCGACGAUACAUAGCCGACCUGAGAGGGUGAUCGGCCACACUGGGACUGAGACACGGCCCAGACUCCUACGGGAGGCAGCAGUAGGGAAUCUUCGGCAAUGGGGGCAACCCUGACCGAGCAACGCCGCGUGAGUGAAGAAAAGGUUUUCGGAUCGUAAAGCUCUGUUGUAAGAGAAGAACGUGUGUGAGAGUGGAAAGUUCACACAGUGACGGUAACUUACCAGAAAGGGACGGCUAACUACGUGCCAGCAGCUGC
rnacentral:rRNA from 1 species